CGAUUCGGAUCCUUAAAGUUGGAUGUGGUGUGAACCCCACAACUAAUCCUCAUUUUUAUAUAAUAAAAAAAUGAGAAUAUCUUUCCUUAUAUAUAUAUAUAGCGUUGACGUAAAGCAGUUGAUGUUUCUCUCAUGCGGGCUAAUAAAGAAACUUGAAACAUGAAGAAACUGGAGACCAAUCCAAUCGUAUAUACAACGUCUCCUAAUCUCAUCAUGUAAUCAAAUAAUUCAUUCUCUUAAGUUGACCCGUAAAUUCCAUUGCUUCUUGAAUUAUUUCUUUCUUUUUUUCUUCAACCCCACAUUUUUGUUAAGAAAUGUACAACAUUCAUUGAUAUGAUUUAGCGAAUAAGUACAAAUUGGAGGAUAUGGUGCAAUUAAGUGAGCCUCGAUAAAAACUUUGUUGUUCAUUUGAAUCCGGACUAAAGAGAAAAAGAGCAUCCCAUACUAACAACUAUAAAACCGUACUAUUCUCAAUUGAAAAAUCAAUGAUUACAUCGGGGGUUCCAUAGAUAGGUCAACUCUUGCCAAUUUGUGAGCCACCCUAGUAGCUUCUUGUCGUGUGUAGAGAAUUUUGGUAUGAGGGAAACAAUGGAGAAAAGUUUGAGCAUAUUAAGAUUUGAUUUUCUUCUUCUUUUUUUCAUAAUCUCACCUUUGAGUAUAUAAUGAGUGUGUGUGUGUGUGUAUAUAUUAUGAGAUUUGUUUAUUUUUUGACAUUGCUGGCCUUAGCGUGCGCAGUUGAUUGAGUAGUAGUAGAAGUAAGAAAUAAGAUCCUACAAUUCCAAUUUCCAGCAAUUUUUGUGUGGUCCACUUAAUCAAACAAACAAAAACAUCGUUUCUUUCUCUUUCUAAUUUCUCUUGUUUGUGUUGGAGUCUUGAGUGUUGUCUGUUCAUCUUUGACCUUUGACUGCCCCACUGCCACUACCCACGCUAAUAUCACAACUAUUUACGAACCUAAUUAUAGUUUAUCCACACCACCUAUUUUAUAUAUGCUUCUAUUAUUCUACCGUUAUUAUAACUAUUAUCCAAUUGUGAUUGUUUAAAUUCUAAAAAGAUUUGAUUUCUAAAUUAUUCAUUAUUCUAGUAAUUCUUUUUCUAUAUGAUUAUCCUUACUUGGAGGGUAAGUUAAUCCUUUUUUCUUGGUUUAUUAUAAACAUUAUUAUAAAAAUCUCCGCGUAGCGCCGCCUAGGUGCUAGGCGGUUGGCCACCAGUCCGAUAGGCGGUUGGCCACCACUCGAUUAAUGCCUAAGCAUUUGAAUUAAGAAAGGGUGCCUAGACCUGUUGAGGCACCCACCUAGCCUGCCUAGGCACUCACUUAUGUUGCGACUCACUUAGACAGAAAAUAGAUAACUUUCAUUUUGUAUUUUAUUUUUUCAAUAAAUUGUAAGAGACUUGCUAAAUAGUUAAAUGAACACACAUGAUAUGUUUGUUCCCCACGUUUUCAUUAUGUUCCAAUACUUCAUAAUAUAUAUGUCAUUCUAUUUUGUAGUUUAUGAUGAAAUUAUAUAUAUUUUAAGUAUAAACAGAUACUUAUUUACACAAAAUAUAAUAGAUUUACUUAAAUCCGUUUAGUCCGCCUAGACCCUGCCUAACCGUCUAGGCGCUAGGCCCCAACCCGCGGCCCGACUAGCGCCCAGCGUCUUUUUAGAACCUGGAUUAUAAAUAAAGGCACUAACAUAGACAAAAUCACAAUAAUCCCCAAGCAUUCUACCAUUUCUCGUCUCUCUCUAUAUUGUCGUACCCUCUCUUUCCCUCAGAUAAAAUAGACCACAAUACGUUAUCAGCACGCUCCUACGCUGUGUUACGAAAUCUGAAGGGAAAUUUUUGCUACAAACCACUUCACCAAUAUCAUCAUGCAAUUCAAGUUAUUCUUAAACAUGGUCUUAGUUGUCGAUAUUUUCUUAGCCUGAUUGCAUGAACAUCCACCAUAAUCUAUGAACCCAACUUUACGUUUUUCGAAUUAUAGAUUCUACAUAAAUUGUGUUUGCAUUAUAUUAAAAUAUUUUAUUUUGUAAGUUGAUAUUGUGAAGAAAAAAUUAAACAAAAUUUAGGGUUUUGAAAAAAUUCAUG
rnacentral:lncRNA from 1 species